UGUCUGAAGCUUGGUAGGCACAUAAAUGUUUGCUCUCUGUUAGCUGAAGCAGGUCAGCAGACUCGCGAGCAUAGCCUCCAAGAACCCAAAGACAUUUAUAAUUUUCCAAGGACAACUGGAUAGUUCUUGAAAAUACUGGUGGAUAUCUGACAUGUUGAAAGUGUCUCAUAUGAAAAUUGUCCUAAGAACCCAUAACAUAAAACUAUGGAGAGAAUUAAAGUUAUGAGAGUCUUCUGCUGAAGCAGUUGAACUUUUCUGAUGUCAAAACAGGAAAUGAAGACAAAAUAUUUGUGCAUUAUAAAACUAGAUGACAUAAGAUGAAAUUUUAGAAUUCAGUCUUCAAUCAGAUAAGUGCUACUUAUAUUCUCUGUGGGGCAACUCCAAUAUUCUCCUAUGAAAGUGAGACUGGCUAUUGGAAAACCAAGAAAGGAUAAGUUACUGAUAAAAUAAUGUUACUAGUGUCCUUCCUAUUGGAUUUGAUUAAAGAAUAAUUAGAGGAAGAGAGCAUAAUACUACAUCAUCCAAGUCUGUAAAGUGAGUGGGUGGGAACAUUAUGCAAAUAAGAAAUAUAUGACAUUCCUAAUCCAUGUACCAUAAUCAUCCUUGAGAGAAGGGGCCUGUGUUCUCAAGGCUUGCCUUAGGAAGAUAUCAACAUCUGGAAAAUGUAGAGACAAAAGAUAGCAAUAAAAAAUAAGCCUCAAAGCUUGAUUAGUGAUUGAAUUUUUCACCUGCUCUUUGUUACUAUUUAAUCUAUCCAUAGGAAGAAAAUCAGCUGAGCUGUCCAGAAACAUCUGGAUGUUAUAGUAUCCAACAAAUAUAAUAGCCAUAGCUAAUGAGCCUAAAUAUAGGGAGAGCAUUACCUGGUUGCUGUUUCAGCCUUCAGCCAAUGAAUAUAAAUAGGCUUUCGUUGAUCUUUUGUCCUACUAAAAUGUAAUCCAGUUUAUUGAACUGGUGAAUUACAUUAACCAUUUUGACAUUAUUUCUUUAUAAAUCUAACAUGGUGUCCUUGUUUUGUUCUUCCUUUCUCUGUAUUAGAGAAGCCAUAAUACAACAAUA